rnacentral:rRNA from 1 species
AUUCCAGCUCCAAUAGCGUAUAUUAAAGUUGUUGCAGUUAAAAAGCUCGUAGUUGGAUCUCGGGUCCAGGCUGGCGGUCCGACGCCUGUCGGUUACUGCCUGCUCCUGACCUACCUCCCGGUUUUUUCGCCCUUGGUGCUCUUGACUGAGUGUCUCGGGUGGCCGGAACGUUUACUUUGAAAAAAUUAGAGUGUUCAAAGCAGGCAAUAUCGCCUGAAUAAUGGUGCAUGGAAUAAUGGAAUAGGACCUCGGUUCUAUUUUGCUGGUUUUCGGAGCUCGAGGUAAUGAUUAAGAGGGACUGACGGGGGCAUUCGUAUUACGGUGUUAGAGGUGAAAUUCUUGGAUCGCCGUAAGACGAACUACUGCGAAAGCAUUUGCCAAGCAUGUUUUCAUCA